rnacentral:rRNA from 1 species
GAUGAACGCUGGCGGCGUGCUUAACACAUGCAAGUCGAACGAAGCACUUAUGACAGGUUCUUCGGAUGAUGGAUUAAGUGACUGAGUGGCGGACGGGUGAGUAACGCGUGGGUAACCUGCCUCAUACAGGGGGAUAACAGUUAGAAAUGACUGCUAAUACCGCAUAAGCGCACAAUACCGCAUGGUAUGGUGUGAAAAACUCCGGUGGUAUGAGAUGGACCCGCGUCUGAUUAGCUAGUUGGUGGGGUAACGGCCUACCAAGGCGACGAUCAGUAGCCGGCCUGAGAGGGUGAACGGCCACAUUGGGACUGAGACACGGCCCAAACUCCUACGGGAGGCAGCAGUGGGGAAUAUUGCACAAUGGGGGAAACCCUGAUGCAGCGACGCCGCGUGAGUGAAGAAGUAUUUCGGAAUGUAAAGCUCUAUCAGCAGGGAAGAAAAUGACGGUACCUGACUAAGAAGCACCGGCUAAAUACGUGCCAGCAGCCGCAGUAAUAC